GCUGGAAUUGCUAGUAAUGGCAGGUCAGCAUACUGCCGUGAAUACGUUCCCGGGGCCCUUGUACACACCGCCCGUCACACCAUGAGAGUUGGGAAUACCCGAAGCCUGUGAGCCAACUUUUAAAGAGGCAGCAGUCGAAGGUAGAAUCAAUGAUUGGGGUGAAGUCGUAACAAGGUAGC
rnacentral:rRNA from 1 species